rnacentral:rRNA from 1 species
UACGUAGGGUGCAAGCGUUGCCCGGAUUUAUUGGGCGUAAAGCGCACGUAGGCGGCUUGGCAAGUCGGAUGUGAAAUCCCUCGGCUCAACCAAGGAAGUGCAUCCGAAACUGCUGAGCUUGAGUACUUAAGAGGAUCGCGGAAUUCCCGGUGUAGAGGUGAAAUUCGUAGAUAUCGGGAGGAACACCAGUGGCGAAGGCGGCGAUCUGGGAAGAUACUGACGCUGAGGUGCGAAAGCCAGGGGAGCAAACGGG